rnacentral:rRNA from 1 species
UACGUAGGGAGCAAGCAUUGUCCGGAAUCAUUGGGCGUAAAGCGCGCGUAGGCGGCCCGAUAAGUCCGCUGUGAAAGUCAACGGCUCAACUGUUGGAUGCCGGUGGAUACUGUCGGGCUAGAGUACGGAAGAGGCAAGUGGAAUUCCUGGUGUAGCGGUGGAAUGCGCAGAUAUCAGGAGGAACACCUAUAGCGAAGGCAGCUUGCUGGGACGUUACUGACGCUGAGACGCGAAAGCGUGGGGAGCAAACAGG